CUGCAGGGACAGAUUUGCUCAGUCAGGCUCCUGGCUUAAUCUAGGACUUCUCUGUUCCUGGGUAUACCCAAAGCCUGACUGCAUGUGGCUAUAC
rnacentral:pre_miRNA from 1 species